GAUGAACGCUGGCGGCGUGCCUAAUACAUGCAAGUCGAGCGAACGGACGAGAAGCUUGCUUCUCUGAUGUUAGCGGCGGACGGGUGAGUAACACGUGGAUAACCUACCUAUAAGACUGGGAUAACUUCGGGAAACCGGAGCUAAUACCGGAUAAUAUUUUGAACCGCAUGGUUCAAAAGUGAAAGACGGUCUUGCUGUCACUUAUAGAUGGAUCCGCGCUGCAUUAGCUAGUUGGUAAGGUAACGGCUUACCAAGGCAACGAUGCAUAGCCGACCUGAGAGGGUGAUCGGCCACACUGGACCUGGGACCCGGUCCAGACUCCUACGGGAGGCAGCAGUAGGGAAUCUUCCGCAAUGGGCGAAAGCCUGACGGAGCAACGCCGCGUGAGUGAUGAAGGUCUUCGGAUCGUAAAACUCUGUUAUUAGGGAAGAACAUAUGUGUAAGUAACUGUGCACAUCUUGACGGUACCUAAGCAGAAGGCCACGGCUAACUACGU
rnacentral:rRNA from 1 species